CGCGUAGGCGGUUUGAUUAGUUAGGCGUGAAAUUCCUGGGCUCAACCUGGGGCUGCGCUUAAUACAGUCAGACUAGAGUGUGAAAGAGGGUCGUGGAAUUCCCAGUGUAGAGGUGAAAUUCGUAGAUAUUGGGAAGAACACCGGUGGCGAAGGCGGCGACCUGGUUCAUUACUGACGCUGAGGCGCGAAAGCGUGGGGAGCAAACA
rnacentral:rRNA from 1 species